rnacentral:pre_miRNA from 1 species
CAAUGUUUGGUAGAGGUGUAUGGCUGGAAAAAAGAAAAGGCUUCUCUGGUCAUUUGGAGAUGCUUUUCUUUCUUCCAUCCAUACAUCAUCUAACAAACUGAGU